rnacentral:rRNA from 1 species
GUGAACGCUGGCGGUAGGCCUAACACAUGCAAGUCGAACGGCAGCACAGUAAGAGCUUGCUCUUACGGGUGGCGAGUGGCGGACGGGUGAGGAAUACAUCGGAAUCUACUUUUUCGUGGGGGAUAACGUAGGGAAACUUACGCUAAUACCGCAUACGACCUACGGGUGAAAGCAGGGGAUCUUCGGACCUUGCGCGAUUGAAAGAGCCGAUGUCGGAUUAGCUAGUUGGCGGGGUAAAGGCCCACCAAGGCGACGAUCCGUAGCUGGUCUGAGAGGAUGAUCAGCCACACUGGAACUGAGACACGGUCCAGACUCCUACGGGAGGCAGCAGUGGGGAAUAUUGGACAAUGGGCGCAAGCCUGAUCCAGCCAUACCGCGUGGGUGAAGAAGGCCUUCGGGUUGUAAAGCCCUUUUGUUGGGAAAGAAAAGCAGCAGGUUAAUACCCCGCUGUUCUGACGGUACCCAAAGAAUAAGCACCGGCUAACUUCGUG